CCUCUGGUAGCUCAGUUGGUAGAGCGGUGGAGGAUUCACAAUCCAUAGGUCGCUGGUUCAAAUCCGGCCCAGAGGA